UAUGGUUGCCAAACACAAUAUAGGGCUUUGUGUGUGGUUAGGUUUCAUAUUGAGUGGAAAGCUAUAUAUAGCAAACCUCCUCCAAGACAAAAAAUAGACUCUAGCAGCCAUGCAGCACAGCUCAGCAUCAACAAAAGACUCGACUAGCAUGAUGGAAUCUCCCGGAAGAAUGUGGAAUAUUCGACUGAUAAAAGAUCAACCGUGCACUGUGACAUUCCCUAGACAGAUACAUUUGUCAAGUGCAAUGCUCUGCUUGGACAGUUUGGGUUCCAAUCGUUAUUUUGACUGUCUCGUUGAAGUACAUGUUGUUGAGAAUGGAACAGACCAUUUAAUUGGAGUACUUGCUGGAAUUGGUAAUAAUCAAGUAAAUCCUAUUUUGCAGUGCAAUAUCAAUAUCAAGUUGGACCCUUCUCGACCUGUCAAAUUCUAUGUGAAGACCGCUCCUAUGCCAUACAAUAAUCACGGAGCGGUUGUCAUAUUUGGAACCAAACUCUCAAAGACUCCACUAGCUGUACAAAUUGUAGGUUAUUUUGACUAACCAGUUGCACUCGAACAUUUUUAGCUGUAAAAUGUCAUGUGAAUUUUCAAGAGACCGAGUUGAAGUACUA